UACGUAGGGUGCGAGCGUUGUCCGGAAUUACUGGGCGUAAAGAGCUCGUAGGUGGUUUGUCGCGUUGUUCGUGAAAUCUCACGGCUUAACUGUGAGCGUGCGGGCGAUGCGGGCAGACUGGAGUACUGCAGGGGAGACUGGAAUUCCUGGUGUAGCGGUGGAAUGCGCAGAUAUCAGGAGGAACACCGGUGGCGAAGGCGGGUCUCUGGGCAGUAACUGACGCUGAGGAGCGAAAGCGUGGGGAGCGAACAGG
rnacentral:rRNA from 1 species